UCCUGACUGACCGAUAGUGAACCAGUACCGUGAGGGAAAGGCGAAAAGAACCCCGGCGAGGGGAGUGAAAAAGAACCUGAAACCGUGUACGUACAAGCAGUGGGAGCACGCUUAGGCGUGUGACUGCGUACCUUUUGUAUAAUGGGUCAGCGACUUAUAUUCUGUAGCAAGGUUAACCGAAUAGGGGAGCCGAAGGGAAACCGAGUCUUAACUGGGCGUUAAGUUGCAGGGUAUAGACCCGAAACCCGGUGAUCUAGCCAUGGGCAGGUUGAAGGUUGGGUAACACUAACUGGAGGACCGAACCGACUAAUGUUGAAAAAUUAGCGGAUGACUUGUGGCUGGGGGUGAAAGGCCAAUCAAACCGGGAGAUAGCUGGUUCUCCCCGAAAGCUAUUUAGGUAGCGCCUCGUGAAUUCAUCUCCGGGGGUAGAGCACUGUUUCGGCAAGGGGGUCAUCCCGACUUACCAACCCGAUGCAAACUGCGAAUACCGGAGAAUGUUAUCACGGGAGACACACGGCGGGUGCUAACGUCCGUCGUGAAGAGGGAAACAACCCAGACCGCCAGCUAAGGUCCCAAAGUCAUGGUUAAGUGGGAAACGAUGUGGGAAGGCCCAGACAGCCAGGAUGUUGGCUUAGAAGCAGCCAUCAUUUAAAGAAAGCGUAAUAGCUCACUGGUCGAGUCGGCCUGCGCGGAAGAUGUAACGGGGCUAAACCAUGCACCGAAGCUGCGGCAGCGACGCUUAUGCGUUGUUGGGUAGGGGAGCGUUCUGUAAGCCUGCGAAGGUGUGCUGUGAGGCAUGCUGGAGGUAUCAGAAGUGCGAAUGCUGACAUAAGUAACGAUAAAGCGGGUGAAAAGCCCGCUCGCCGGAAGACCAAGGGUUCCUGUCCAACGUUAAUCGGGGCAGGGUGAGUCGACCCCUAAGGCGAGGCCGAAAGGCGUAGUCGAUGGGAAACAGGUUAAUAUUCCUGU
rnacentral:rRNA from 1 species